GUCGAGCGAAUGGAUUAAGAGCUUGCUCUUAUGAAGUUAGCGGCGGACGGGUGAGUAACACGUGGGUAACCUGCCCAUAAGACUGGGAUAACUCCGGGAAACCGGGGCUAAUACCGGAUAACAUUUUGAACCGCAUGGUUCGAAAUUGAAAGGCGGCUUCGGCUGUCACUUAUGGAUGGACCCGCGUCGCAUUAGCUAGUUGGUGAGGUAACGGCUCACCAAGGCAACGAUGCGUAGCCGACCUGAGAGGGUGAUCGGCCACACUGGGACUGAGACACGGCCCAGACUCCUACGGGAGGCAGCAGUAGGGAAUCUUCCGCAAUGGACGAAAGUCUGACGGAGCAACGCCGCGUGAGUGAUGAAGGCUUUCGGGUCGUAAAACUCUGUUGUUAGGGAAGAACAAGUGCUAGUUGAAUAAGCUGGCACCUUGACGGUACCUAACCAGAAAGCCACGGCUAACUACGUGCCAGCAGCCGCGGUAAUACGUAUGUGGCAAGCGUUAUCCGGAAUUAUUGGGCGUAAAGCGCGCGCAGGUGGUUUCUUAAGUCUGAUGUGAAAGCCCACGGCUCAACCGUGGAGGGUCAUUGGAAACUGGGAGACUUGAGUGCAGAAGAGGAAAGUGGAAUUCCAUGUGUAGCGGUGAAAUGCGUAGAGAUAUGGAGGAACACCAGUGGCGAAGGCGACUUUCUGGUCUGUAACUGACACUGAGG
rnacentral:rRNA from 1 species